UACGUAGGGGGCUAGCGUUGUCCGGAAUCAUUGGGCGUAAAGCGCGUGUAGGCGGUUCGGUAAGUCCGCUGUGAAAGUCGGGGGCUCAACCCUCGAAUGCCGGUGGAUACUGUCGGGCUAGAGUACGGAAGAGGCGAGUGGAAUUCCUGGUGUAGCGGUGGAAUGCGCAGAUAUCAGGAGGAACACCAAUAGCGAAGGCAGCUCGCUGGGACGGUACUGACGCUAAGGCGCGAAAGCGUGGGGAGCGAACAGG
rnacentral:rRNA from 1 species